rnacentral:lncRNA from 1 species
AUGAAGGAGCACAGAUUGGUGUCAAGCAUUGUAAAACGAUGGCUCUAUGUGGUGAUUGAGGUAUGGCUUGUCAUUAUAUGAAAUUUUUAUUCUGUUUUUUAAUUUUUAAUAAUAUGGAAUGUCACGAGAAACAUUUCUGAAUAAAGUAAUACUUUUACUGCAUGAUUGUACCCUAAUUUAAUGGGUUCCAAUUCUUUUGUUGUUAAUUUUGUUUUUUUCAUUUUGAAUUGUUUCAUCACAUGAUGAUUUGGAUACAUACAAUAUGGACACCAAAACGCGUACAGGUCAGUAAUGUGCCAUAAUUAACUCACAUCAACUUUUAAUGAGAUUCUGAAUUAUAAAUAUUAAGGAGUGCUGUUAUUUUCAUCCCUAUCCUAUUUUUCCACCUAUUAUUGACUAAUUUCUCUCUAUGCCUUCCUUUUUUGUAGCAGAUUGCCCAAUUUGUCAAGCACCUCUUCAUUGGCCAUUGCUUCAACUACAACUUUGUGGUCAAGUUAUGUGAUUGUUCUAUCAAAUGCCUUCUUUUUGGGUCGGAGAGAACUUUAGGAUUGUGUUUUUCAAAUUUACAUGGUAGGUAG